AGAGGAAGGACCGUCCCCAGGCCCCGGGGCUCGACUGCAAGCCUUCUCCUUCUGCAACAGCGGCAAAGGCACUGCUGCGGUCCUCAGGGACUUCCUCUGGGCCCAAGCAGCCCCGAUACCUCGAGGGAAAGACGGUAAACCCAACCCGGUCAGCCGCGCCGGCUCCGCCCCUCUUCCCAGGCCCUUCCCGCUUUCGUACGCAGGGACUGCUGAAAUGACGCCGCCAGAACAACUUGAGCCUCAUACCACUUACCUGCACCGGUAGAGUUUUCCUCUUCUCUGGGUCCGGUCCUUUGAAGCGCUUCAAAUCUACCGCCGCCAGAAAAGGCGCUAAAGCCCGCUAACCGCCUCCCUCCCCCACAACUCAGUCCUGGCAUGGAGAGACAGCGUCGCACCGGAAGCGCGUCAGGAGUGGGUUGUCAGCAUCGGCCAGCGUUCACCUGCUUGCGUCACCACGCCCUCCUAGGACUUCUAGGAUUUUGGUGCCUUUUAAAUUCCUAGUUUAUAGGUGGCCUAAUGCUUUGUGGAUGCGUUGACUGGGAACGCUUGUAACCGUUAAAAUGCCAUAUCCUUUGUGAAGUAAAGUGCCUCAUUUAAUAAACAUUUAUUGAUCUUACGCUAGGUUAUCAGAAAGGAAGGCCUACCUUCAUGGAGCUUCCAGUUAAGCUUCCACUUAACGCUAGGAUAUAAGUUCUAAAAACGCAGUAAUGAGCAAAGUGUUAUUUGAGGAAAGAGGAAGAAAUUACAAAGAGCUUUGAUGUUCUUUGUUGUUUUACAGAUAAAGAAAUUGAGGCUCAGGGAAGAUAAACGCCUCCUCCUCAAACACACUGUUCUUGAAUGCCAAAGCAAGUCUUUUGAUGCCAAAUCUAGUGCCUUCUAGAGAAAAUAUGGCAUAUAUUAUUUAAUUAUUUUAAGGGGCAAGGGUCCCCGGAUUAUGUUAGAAAUAAAUAACCAUUGCUGUUUGGGCGGGGGGGUGGGGGGGGAUGGGCAGUGAUUCUGGUAGGGAUGUGGGGUGUGUUUUAAAGGAACUAGCUAACUAGAGGACUUAAAUUGUUCUGUCGUUUAAAGGCAACGUAAAUUAUGAUCAUUUAAAUUUUUCACUCACUUGCAUCAGGUAAAUUAAUUAUCAACAACAGUUAGGCAUGUGGUGGUGCUUCUAAGGGGCGUGACCAGUUUUACACAGCAGUAAAACAGAGGACAUUUCUGCCUCUCCACCCCCACCUCUUUUAAGUCAUUGCCCUUUAUUGCAGGAGAGCAGCAGCAUAUUCAUCUUUAGAUAGUUCAGAGAUUAAACGGAUUUACACUUCGCUGUGUGUGGAGGGGACAAUUCUGCAAUACCUUAAAACAGGGGUCCCCAACCCCUGGGCCACAGACUGGCCUGGCUAAUUUUUUGUAUUUUUAGUAGAGACAGGGUUUCUCCAUGUAGGUCAGGCUGGUCUCAAACUCCCAACCUCAGGUGAUCCGUCCUCCUUGGCCUCCCAAAGUGCCGGGAUUACAGGUGUGAGCCACCACGCCCGGCCAACGCUUUUCGAAAGAAGACAUACUUGCAGCCAACAAUCAUAAUGAAAAAGCUCAACACCACCAAUCAUCAGAAAAAUGCAAAUCAAAACCGCAGUGAGAUACUAUCUCAUACCAGUCAGAAUGGCUAUUAUUAAAAAGUCAAAAAAUAACAGGUGCUGGUGAGGUUGUGGAGAAAAAGGAACAUUUUACAGUGCUGGUGGGAGUUUAAAUGAAUUCAACUAUUGUGGAAGACAGCGUGGCGAUUCCUCAAAGACCUAGAGGCAGAAAUACCAUUUGACCCAGCAAUCACAUUACUGGGUAUAUACCCAAAGGAAUAUAAGUUGUUCUGUUAUAAAGACAUACACAUAUGUAUGUUCAUUGCCACACUAUUCACAAUAGCGAAGACAUGGAGUCAACCUAAAUGUCCAUCAAUGGUAGACUUGAUAAAGAAAAUGUGGUACAUAUACUCCAUGGAAUACUAUGCAGCCAUGAAAAAGAAUGAUCUCAUGCCCUUCGCAGGAACAUGGAUGGAGCUGGAGACCAUUAUCCUUAGCAAACUAAUGCAGAAACAGAAAACCAAGUACCACAUGUUCUCACUUAUAAGUGGGAGCUAAAUGAUGAGAACACAUGAAGACAUAGAGGGGCACAAUACACACUGGGGCCUAUCAGAGUGUAGACAGUGGGAGGAGGGAGAGGAUCAGGAAAAAUAACUAAUGGGUCCUAGACUUAAUACCUAGGUGAUGAAAUAUUCUGUACAACAAACCCCCAUUACACAAGUUUACCUCUGUAACAAACCUGCAUAUGUACCCCACAACUUAAAUAAAAAUAAAUAAAUGGAAGGAUACUGUAUGUAUAGUGU
rnacentral:lncRNA from 10 species